ensembl:lncRNA
AUGUGAGCAUCACCUGUGCGGACCUGGCGCUGAAAACAAUCAUCAUACCAAAUGACAGAACAAUUAGCGUUGCCAGCAGAGAAAAUAGUAAGUGAACCAACCAAAGGCCAGUGUGUUUAUUUUCCCACUCAGAGACAUCGUCUUCCCAGGUGGGGACUCUGAAAACAUUCCUGCUGAAGCUGACACGGUUUUUACUUCAGUGAGGGACUGGUCUGUUCCAAGCAGGAAAUUAACCCAAACUUUAAGAGAAAGCAACACAAGCUGCUGAACAUACAAAGCUGAUAAAACAGAGUGUCUGUAACGUUAGAAAAACUGCACGCUCUCAUAUUCUGCAAGAGGAGACUUACAAAUAGCACCACUCAACCAUUUAACCAAACUGCAAAAUGAACUCAGAGUCAUUACGCUAUCUAAACAUCCUCUCUAACUUGUCUGCAGUUUCCAAAUGCUGCUUUGGAUAAACUUAGUACUGCAAGUAA